CUUGGCUCCUCCGGCAUCUCCUGCCUAUUGUUGGAACUCGGCCUGGCCGCAAACAUGCUUAUUAUCCUCUGUGUCUGGACAGCAUUCCUUUGUCUUCUGGCUGAUUCUAGAGCAACUGAGGAUGUCGAUCCACAUUCUCACAUAGGUCUGCUCUUCCUUCAUUCCCACCUCCACUAUUGUUUCAAGUCCACAGUCCCCGUAAUGCCCAGAGGCAUCCUGUGUCCUACAGAGAUGGCAGGGACAAGAAAGCAAUGACAGCCUGUGCCGGGUUUUUUCAAACUGUGAAAAGGACACAUGGGCCACGUCAAAUUCAAAUAAUGUGAAAAGGAGAGAGAGGGUGCCCGUUCUGGACUGCAGCCUGGGCCCCCCCAAGGGCAGCAGCGGGAAAGCAACAUGUAUUGUGUUUACCCAGAUGGAACUCCUUUGAUCUCAGUACUCUGUUGCCCGAAUGUGAAUGUCUUGGAAAAUCCACUGGGCUUUGGCUCUGAGGAGAAGCAGCCGGUAGACCCCCC
rnacentral:lncRNA from 1 species